rnacentral:rRNA from 1 species
UAGGGAAUCUUCGGCAAUGGGGGCAACCCUGACCGAGCAACGCCGCGUGAGUGAAGAAGGUUUUCGGAUCGUAAAGCUCUGUUGUAAGUCAAGAACGGGUGUGAGAGUGGAAAGUUCACACUGUGACGGUAGCUUACCAGAAAGGGACGGCUAACUACGUGCCAGCAGCCGCGGUAAUACGUAGGUCCCGAGCGUUGUCCGGAUUUAUUGGGCGUAAAGCGAGCGCAGGCGGUUUGAUAAGUCUGAAGUUAAAGGCUGUGGCUCAACCAUAGUUCGCUUUGGAAACCGUCAAACUUGAGUGCAGAAGGGGAGAGUGGAAUUCCAUGUGUAGCGGUGAAAUGCGUAGAUAUAUGGAGGAACACCGGUGGCGAAAGCGGCUCUCUGGUCUGUAACUGACGCUGAGGCUCGAAAGCGUGGGGAGCGAACAGGAUUAGAUACCCUGGUAGUCCACGCCGUAAACGAUGAGUGCUAGGUGUUGGAUCCUUUCCGGGAUUCAGUGCCGCAGCUAACGCAUUAAGCACUCCGCCUGGGGGAGUACGACCGCAAGGUUGAAAC